rnacentral:misc_RNA from 1 species
GAUGAAGAACGGUAGCGAAAUGCGAUAAGUAAUGUGAAUUGCAGAAUUCAGUGAAUCAUCGAAUCUUUGAACGCACAUUGCGCCCCCUGGUAUUCCGGGGGGCAUGCCUGUUCGAGCGUCAUUUCACCACUCAAGCCUCGCUUGGUAUUGGGCAACGCGGUCCGCCGCGUGCCUCAAAUCGACCGGCUGGGUCUUCUGUCCCCUAAGCGUUGUGGAAACUAUUCGCUAAAGGGUGUUCGGGAGGCUACGCCGUAAAACAACCCCAUUUCUAAGGUUGACCUCGGAUCAGGUAGGGAUACCCGCUGAACUUAAGCAUAUCAAUAAGCGGAGGA